GCAAGGCCGCAAGGCAGGCGACGAAGAAUAUAUUGAGAGAGAGAGAGACUAGUCGUCUCGCUCAUACUAAAGUGCUUUUUGUGUGAACUUGAUACCUUCUUUUCUUCCUUGAUCAUGGAUCAUCCCUGAAUGCAAACGCUGUAUCUAACUGUUCCAGAUCACUCUCGCUGGUGUUGGCUGGGCAUUUAAACAUUCAGCUACAGGUUUUCUAAUGUGCAUAUCGCCCUCACUGGUGUGGAUGGAAUACUGUGAUCUCCUGAAUUUACUAUUUGCUAUUGGGGUUUGGUCACAGCGUAUAUCACCGUUGCUAUUCUUGCGUCUUUUCGAGCCAUUGGCUUCCUCUGUCUUUUCUGAUCCAGAAAAGCCAUUUAAGAAAGCUAUCAUGCGAUAUGCACAGCUAGUCAUUGGCCCUGACGGCAGUGGAAAGGUAGUUUACUGGUUCAUAUAACGUAUUGGUAGCAAUUGAGUUCAAUUCCCGCUAUGAGCAAUACUCUUGUAGGGUUUUGACAGAAAACUUAUGUCUUCAAUUCUGUGUGCACAAGGGUCUGACGAUCCAAGUUUAUACUCA